CUUAAUGAUAAAGCUAACUACUAAACUAUUAGUAUUGACUAUAAACCUAAAACAAAGGCCAUGUAUGCUUCAACACCAGACAUAGCUUAGCCAUCAUUCAGGCAAAACCUGUUCUAAUUUGAAGCUCAUACUUAAACCAAUUAUUAUAUGAGAAUGUCUAUGAUUACAAUUAAGAAAUAACCUGUGGGUCAAGCCAUUAAAACUACAACUCAAACUAUCUUAUGGCCAGAUCCACAGUUAUUGAACCUCAAAUCCAGCAUUAGACUUUAAUUUAUCAUAAACCAUGAAAAAAAGACUCGAACUUCAGGAAUUAAUACUCAAACUAGGCAACAUAUGAUUAUGUACAAUACACAUGUUGAAUUCUAGUGGAAAUAGGUGAAAUGCAAAUCAUUCUAAUCGUACAUAACUGCUAAAGCACAUUCCAGCUAUAACCAAACUUCAUGUAAUUGCUAUGUCAAAACCAAACAUUCAAAUUAUGUUAAAAAAGAACCAACAAACAACAGGCUUAACAAACUGCAACAGACAGUUCACAUUUCAAUACAAUUCAAAUUAGAAUACAAGUGAUAAAUGUGUACCUAAGCUUGAAAAUGAAACUGAACAUUUGCCAAAUAAAGAUCAAAGAAAUCAACUACUAAGUGAUCUCACAAUAGGUCAACAACAGAAGAUAGGAUGACCGCUUGAAUCCCAGAAUGAUCAACAGAAAAAACAUCAGCAACUAGAACGACAACAAAACCCCAUAAUUUUGACUAAAACCAACUUUAAAUGGCAGGGAUCAUGAACUAGGAAACCAUGGAGCUAUUUCUGUUUUCAGAUUCACUUGGAAAACUCAGAAAAGGGAAGAAAAAUCAGUGUGAAAAUCAAACUCUUUUCCAGAAUUCCUUGGUAUUUCAAAAAUGCCUUUUUAAAAUUGCCUAAUCUUGAUGAUAGUCUGUUUUGAGUGAGUGAUGGCCUAUUCUUUAUACAGAAUGCAUAAAGAUAGCAUAAAAAGGAAUAUUCUACCCUAAAAUUCUGAAAUGUCAGAUAGUACAGCAUCUUUGACAUUUGUAUGUCCUUUUUUCAGCCCAAAUCCAGUAUUGCCAUGCUAAGGAUGGAGACAGCUGUGCAAAAUCUAGUACCUUCUGAUAUUUUAUCUAGGGUUUGCCCAUUCUUACCUUCAAAUUAACCACUUUUAGUUCUGUUUAAUACAAAUAGCCACCUCAAUGUCCUAGGCUCUAAUUUUUACUGCCCAAAAUGUGUAACAACUCGACCGAUCAUUUUGAGAUUUUGCGCUUUGAUUGCCAGUUCUCAUGAAUGACUUGCCCCGUAUGGUGUAUUAUGACUUAUGUAAAUCAUUGGUUUGGGUUUUUAGGGAAAUCGGAACGAAUUUGGAAGAACAAUUCUCAGUUUGUAGCUUGAAAUUUGAAAGGUUUGACCAAGAUUUGACUUGUUUGUAUAUGAUCUUGGAUCAGAUAUUUUAGGUUUUGGUUAGCUCCUUUAGGUGAUUUGGGACUUAGGAGCAUGAUCGGAAAGCAUUUUGGAAGUCCGUGGAAGGUUUUGGCUUGAAUCGGCGAAAUUGAGAUUUCGGCGUUUUCCAGUUGAUAGGCGAGAUUUUGAUAUAGAGGUCAGAAUGGAAUUCUGAGAGCUACAGUAUCUUCGUUGUGUCAUUUGGGAAGUGUGUGUAAAAUUUUAGGUCAUUCGGACGUGGUUUGGUUGGAUUUUUGAUCAAAAUCGUAUUUCAGAAGAUUUUUGAAACUUAGGCUUGAAUCCGAUGUGAAUUGUUAUAUUCGAUGUUGUUUGAGGUGUUUUGAUAAUUGGGACAAGUUUGACUAAGGUAUUGGGUUAUGUGUGUGCUUUUGGUUGAGGUGUCGGAGGGGGGGGCCUCGGGGUGAUUUCGGAUGGUUAACGAGAAGAUUUAAAACUUGGGAAAUUGCAGAAAAUUUGCCGCUUCUGGUGUUUUUGCACCUGCGGUUUGGGGUCUGUAGGUGUGGCACCACAGAUGUGAGGGAGAAGCCACAGAAGCGAUUUUGGAGGGGAUUGUCAGGAAACCAUAAAUGCGAUAUUGGGGGCCGCAUCUGUAGAACCGCAAAUGCGUAAGAAGGAUCACAGAUGCGGCAGUGGCCGACUUUAGUGAUUUCCGCAGAAGCGGAGUGUUAACCACAAAUGCAGUAUCACAGAGCGGAUUUUGGACCGCAGAUACGGACAUGCCUGGGCAGAGCAUAUAAGUUAGACCAUUUCGGGAAAUUGGGUUAUUUCACCAUUUUUGACUUUGGCUUGAGAGCUUUUGGACGAUUUGAAAGAGGGAUUUCAAGGGAACCUCAUUAAGGUAAGGAUUUUGGACCUAAAACACAUUUCUAUGGUAGUAUUUCAUGGAUUAAGGCUGCAAUUAAAUGAAUUAAAGGGCUAAAAAUGGAGGAUUAGGGCAUGAGUUAAGAGGCCUUAAAUUGAGGAUUUAAAGGGUCAUUUGAACUCCGAUUUUGGCAUUAUUGAUAUGCAUAGACUUAUGGGAAGAUGAGAAAUCAAUUGAUGUAAAAAAUUCUGAGUUUCAAGAAGUGGGCCCGGGGCUCGGGUUUUGGCCAAUUUCAGGAUUUUUGGUAUUUUUCGAUUGUUUUUCCUUGGGCUUUGUUCCCUUAGCCUAGUGUGACUUAUUCGUUCUGAUUUAUUUAUAGAUUCGACGUGCGUGGUAGCCGAUUCGAGGGUAAAGGUGUCGCGAGUUAGAGAUUUAACCGGUUCGAGGUGAGUAAUGAUUGUAAACGAUGCUCUCAGGGUUUGAAUCCCCAAAUUGCUUAUCGUAGUGCUAUAUUGAGGUGAGGUACACACUUGAUGACGAGCGUGGGGUCGUGCACUAUUGGGGAUUGUGACUUGGUCCGUCCCGAUUGAUGAUUUUUCCGCGUAUUUGAUUGAAAACUAUUUGUUAUCAUCAUUUUUUGGGUUGAAUGCCAUAUUUGGGCCUAAUGCCCGCUAAGUGAACCCUUCAAGGAUUUUUGUUGAUAUUUCCUCACUGUUUUGACUUUAUACUUGAACUCAAUUGUGUUAUUUUCCACUGUUUUCAAAACUCAGCCAAGUUUAUUUUGCUUUAACACUUGAAAUGAUAUUUCAAAUAAUAUUUUGGGCUGAGCAUCAUGUUUUACUAUUUCCCGAGUGACUUAUGUGAUUUUGAUUGAGUAAGGCCGAGUGUCUGUAUGGUGAAGAUACUUUUGGAUCGGGCUGCACGCUGCAGAAGUGAGAUACUGAUUUGAUUAUGAAGCCGAGGGCCUGAGAUAUGUACGCCACGAGGUGGCUUGUUGAUUGAUAUGAGGCUGAGGCCUAGAUUUGAUGCCACGAGAUGGCUUGAUAUUGCGCUUGGGUCAUAAAGGGCCCCUCCCGGAGUCUGUACACCCCUAGUGAGUGCGGGUACCCAUUGUGAUAUGAGAUUGAGCCCGAGGGGCUGGUACUGUUCUGAGAUAUUGCCUGAGGGGCGAACUUCUAUUUUUUUACUUUAUCUUAAUUAUUUGUCAAUUUACCUGUUUACUGGUUGAAAGAGGGUUUAACUUGACUUUUCAUUGUCUUACUACUUUUAAAUGGUUUUACUUCUUCAUUAUAGAAUGCCUUGUUCCUUACGUGUUUUCUUACUUGCAGUCUUUAUUUACAUUUUUUACUCACUGAGUUGAAGUACUCACUUUACUCUUUGCGCCUCUGUGUGCAGAUUCAGGCGUUAUUGGUUCCGCUCUUGAGUGCUGAUUCCUCUAGUUCCAGGCGGCUUUCGGAUAUUACGAGGUAGUUGUUGGCAUCCGCAGCCCCGUGUCUCUACUCUCUUAUAAUUUUUAUUUCUUUUCCAACAUUUGUAUUAGUAUUGGAUUUAGCAGACUUGUGUAUGGUCUAUAGAUGCUCGUGACUUGUGACACCCCGAUUAGGGCUGUGUCGGGUUGGAUUCCAUUUUUGUUAUCUAUGUUUCCACUACUUAUUAUCAUUAAAUCAUGUUUUAUAUUGCCUUUAUAUUGUUUGAUUGCUUUAACAAGUGAAUUGAGUUUAAUUGGCUGAUCUUGUCUUCACGAGAGGCGUCAUCACGACCGGGUUCGGGGUUAGGGUCGUGACAAGUUGGUAUCAGAGCCUAGGUUACAUAGGUCUCAUGAGUUAUGAGCAGGUUUAGUAGAGUCUCGCGGAUAGGUACGGAGACUUCUGUAUUUAUCCUCGAGAGUCUGCAGAACCUUUAGGAAAACAUCACAUUCUUGAAUUAUUAUCGUUUGUCCUUGAUUCAGCUUGAAAUGUAACUUUUUGAAUUCCUUCCACGCAUUCGUAUACGUGCAUGAGCGCUCAGUAUUAGAUGUGCAUUGAUGGCUUGUGAAUCCCUGAUCGAGGGGUGAUAUGUGAUCUUUGUGAGUUGAUGUUGAGCCAGUCUGGAGAACUUGAGGCCGGUUCUUUGCCUAUGGCUUGAGCACCGAGGGGUGAUUGUGUGAGCAAGUGUUUUUGAACUUAUAUGUUUGGUAUUGUCCCUAUUAAUAGAAGUGACGGCUGGAUACUAUGUGAUGAGUAUGUUGGUGUUGUGAGAUGUAUCCAUACAAAUUGGAAGUGACGAGAAGGGUCUGCUGGAGGAUAAAAGAACUAUUAGGUGCUUGGAUUCGAUCUUGAUUCGAGGUAUAGCCCCGAGUUAUGGGCGUGUGAAGAAUCUUGUUCAUGUUUCCUAGUUGAAAGUGAAGUAAAUUUCAUGUUGCGGUAUGCGUUAAGACUCAAGAAAACUAAGUGACUGCGUACAGUUUAUGACGGUGGAAGGUAUACAGAAAUGUUAAUUGGGGGCAAAGCAGGUGGGUUAUAUCCUGCAAAGUAUUCUGUGGUUGUGUGAUCCUUAUGUGACUGUUAGAAGAUCUCAUGUACAAGUGAAAUAUAAGUGUUGAAAUUUGAAUUUUGGGUCGCUUAAGAGAGUGGGCUUAACAGUUGCGAGAGUGAAUGCGAAAUUUGUAGAAGAGUUAAAAUUCUUGAUGAUCUGUGUUUUUACAAGCUUAUAAAGGAUUUGAGUUUAACCUUACUAUGGUAUUAUGACAUCAAUAGAGUAUAUGCGUUAUUGAGUGUAUUUUGAUCUAUGGCUUUGAGCCAAGUGGGGGAGUCUGCGGUUGAGUAGGUGAUUGCACGACUAGGUGCUAUGAGAGUUCUAGUUUGAGGCGUUCGGGUGAAUCAGUUAUGGCCCGCGGAUAUUGAGAUCGGGGAUGACUCGAGUAAAGGAAACUUCUUAACAAAGGAUAUAGUAUGCUUCAUAGGUGUGUAAGAAUCACAGAAUGUCUCGAGUUGUUGGUAAAGGAUGCUCAGUGGAUAGAGUAGGAAGUUGCUUGGUUGUAUUGGAAUGAGGUUACAUUCUGCGAUGUCAGAGUGCUAGUGAGGCACGGGUUGUCGGUUCAUUUGAUCAGGCUAAUUNNNNNNNNNNNNNNNNNNNNNNNNNNNNNNNNNNNNNNNNNNNNNNNNNNNNNNNNNNNNNNNNNNNNNNNNNNNNNNNNNNNNNNNNNNNNNNNNNNNNNNNNNNNNNNNNNNNNNNNNNNNNNNNNNNNNNNNNNNNNNNNNNNNNNNNNNNNNNNNNNNNNNNNNNNNNNNNNNNNNNNNNNNNNNNNNNNNNNNNNNNNNNNNNNNNNNNNNNNNNNNNNNNNNNNNNNNNNNNNNNNNNNNNNNNNNNNNNNNNNNNNNNNNNNNNNNNNNNNNNNNNNNNNNNNNNNNNNNNNNNNNNNNNNNNNNNNNNNNNNNNNNNNNNNNNNNNNNNNNNNNNNNNNNNNNNNNNNNNNNNNNNNNNNNNNNNNNNNNNNNNNNNNNNNNNNNNNNNNNNNNNNNNNNNNNNNNNNNNNNNNNNNNAUUCUAUAUAUCAUUGUUUGGAAGGUAAUGGCUCGGAAUUCGUAGGAGGUCUCUUCAGGGUAAGUAUUUUGAACUUGGUGCUUUUGGGGAUAUCUAAGAAAGUAUUCAGCGGCUUAUGAGCCUUAGAUGGUGUGGCUUUAUGCUUGGGUCUUGUGUGAUGAGUCUGGGUUGAGGAAUCGUGAUGGUACAGUAAGAAGGAGUAUCAAGUUGAAGGUAAAUCAGAAGGAAACUCGGAUAGAUGGUUUAGCUUAGUAGUGGGUCGGAUCGAGAUGGUAAGGAUAUGAUUAACUCUUUGGAUUCUUAUGGGGUAAUGAGUCUCUGCAGGUGUUUCGAGGCAAUUCUUUUGGGUUUUAGAGUCAUUCAUAGCUCGGUUGAGUUAGAAGGGUUCAGUCCUGAUGAGUUAGGGUUGUGCAAAUGGAAUUCAAGGAGUUAUUAAUGGUUCCUACCUUGGUUGGAAACGUAUAAUUUACUAUUGACAUGUAGAGCAUGGGAUGUAUAGUGGUUCUUUUCUAGAUGGGAUCAAUGGGAAGUUCUUGGCUAGUGGAAUGCAUAGUUGCUUGCGGUUCGGAAUGGAUAUGAAAUUCUCAUAGUUAUCCUAGAAUGGUAUGAGAUAUGCGGUAUAUUGUAAAUGAUUGAGAAUUACGUGUGUGAGGUUGCGGUUCGAUUCUGAAAGAAAGGUCAUAAAAUUCUUCGGUAGCAUAGGCAGUUACAGAUGAUUAGAGGAAUAAUCUUUAGAUGAUUAAGGAAAUGGUAUUUCUAAUUGGAGUGAUUUAACGAGGGUAUAUGUUUCAGAAAAGGCAAUAAGAUUAAGUUGAUGGUACUUCGGUGAUAUUGCAACACUUUCUUGUUAGAUCGACGGAUGAUAUUCGAGUUUGCUUGAUGGAACAAGGGAAUUUUACAAUAUCUUUCAUGGAAUGAUUUGGUAUUUGAGUUGUGGUAUGCAUUCAGACGGCGGAAUUGGGAUAAGGUGUGUUGAUUCAUGUGCCAUAUGGAUUUGGAGACGGCAAGUUCUCAUAUUCAGGCUAUGUGGUGGUUGUGAGUCGUGUGUAUCGGCACUGUUUAGUGACUAUCGGGAUUUGGAGACCCGAGCUGAUCUUUUGUUGCUUGGUAUGUUAGAUUUUGGAUGUGAUAUUGGGUUCAGAUUGUUUGUCUCUAUAUGGUGUCAUUCUAGACUAUUGCACUAAGGCGACGCUGUUGGCUAUGCCGAAAAUGUCACGGAUUAAGUGGCAUGGUUCAACGGAUUAUGUCCUAGUGGAGUGGUUUUAUAUUUCGAAGACCCAUCAGACGACUGGGAGAGAUUGUUUUUCUUAGUUAGGUUUUCGUGAUAGAUGUUAGUGCAGAGGCUUCCACCAUUGAUUCAGUUCCGGUGGUGAGGGACUUUUCGAAAGUGUUUCUUGUGGCCGGGCAUGCCGCCGGGCAAGGUUGUUGAUUUCUGUAUUGAUUUGAUGUUUGGUAGUGUGUAUCAUAUGGCAUCGACAGAGUUAUAGGGAUAGAAGGAGCAGCUUUAGGACUUACUUGAUAAGGAGUUCGUUGGCAGGCCAAUGUAGAUGUGUGUUCUAACUUGAGUCGGCUUGGUUGGCACCAAAUUGUAUUGCUGAAUGAUGUGUUGAUUCGAUUGUUAUUGAGCUUAUCAGUAAUCUCGGGAGGUCUAUAAGUUACCUUUCUAUGUUGCGAGGUGUAUAAUUUGUAAGUUAUGGGCACAUAUGGUGCGGUUCUAUUGGGGUUUCAUAAUGGAAGUCGAGCGGGAAGAGUGACUGGGUAUUGCUCGGUGAAUGGCGUAUCAGUUAUGUCUUUUUGGGUUAGUGUCGUCUAUGUUAUUUGCUUCAUUGUGGGUAUGAUGAUUGCUUUGGUUCCAGACAUCUAAUUGUGCGCGGUUGUCGAUUUUGAGCAUAGUGACUUAAGGUGGUUCAUGUGGAGCAGUGUUGGAUAGGGUCGCAUAUCGCAGCAAUGUUAUGUGGAGGUAUGACCUUGCGGGUUAGAUUCAUGUGUUCUGUUCCUAUGAUGCGAUUUCAGCAUGUUGGAAGGAUAGUAUCGAGCUUCGGUUCAGAAAUUUGCUGUUGUAUUUGCCAAGGAAGAAGUGGCUUCAUAAAUGGUUGAUCUGGGAAAUGGUUAUGGCUUACCGCGUAUCUUAGUGAUCAAUGGCAGUAUAUGAAAGUGUUGGGAUGAGACUUUAGUUGAUAAGAGUUUUCCUAUCGGUAUGCGGAUGUUGUGUGCAGCUGAUGUGGUUAAAAGUUAUCACUACNNNNNNNNNNNNNNNNNNNNNNNNNNNNNNNNNNNNNNNNNNNNNNNNNNNNNNNNNNNNNNNNNNNNNNNNNNNNNNNNNNNNNNNNNNNNNNNNNNNNNNNNNNNNNNNNNNNNNNNNNNNNNAGUGGAAAUGUGGUUCUAUGGUUUAUGGACUAGGAUGGAUUGUGAACUUUCAGUCAUAUUAUGUUAUCAGACCUAUGUGAGAUAGGGUGACAUGGGAUCCCUCCCCCCCGGGUAUAUGCAUGGUAAGGUUAUCCAGCAAUUGGUUGGCUUUUAGAACAACUCUAGGCACGUUCGAGAAUGAACAUAUGUUUAAGUAGAGGAAGAUGUAAUGACCCGACUGGUCGUUUUGAGAUUUUGCACUUCGAUCUCCAGUUCUCGGGCAUGACUUGCCCCGUGUGGUGUAAUAUGACUUAUGUAAGUCGUUGGUUUGGGUUUUCAGGGAAAUCAUAACGAAUUUGGAAGAACAAUUCUCAGUUUGUAGCUUGAAAUUUGAAAGGUUUGACCAAGAUUUAACUUGUUUGUAUAUAGGAUCAGAAAUUUUAUGAUUUGGUUAGAUCCGUUGGGUGAUUUGGGACUUAGAUCAUGAUCGGAAUGCAUUUUGAAAGUCCGUGGAAGGUUUAGACUUGAAUUGGAGAAAUUGAGAUUUCGGCGUUUUCCGGUUUAUAGGCGAGAUUUUGAUAUAGAGGUCAGAAUGGAAUUCUGAGAGUUGCAAUAGCUUCGUUGUGCCAUUUGGGAUGUGUGUGUAAAAUUUCAGGUCAUUGGGACGUGGUUUGGUUGGGUUUUUUAUCAAAAGCGUAUUUCAGAAGAUUUUUGAAACUUAGGCUUGAAUCCGAUGUGAUUUGGUACAUUCGAUGUUGUUUGAGGUGUUUUGAUGAUUGGGACAAGUUUGAAUAAGGUAUUGGUUUAUGUGUGUGCUUUUGGUUGAGGUCCCGAGGAGCCUCGGGAUGAUUUCGGAUGGUUAACGAGAAGAUUUAAAACUUGGGAGAUUGCAGAAAAUUUGCUACUUCUGGUGUUUUUGCACCUGCGGUUUAGGGCCCGCAUGUGCGGCGCCGCAGAUGCGAGGGAGAAGCCACAGAAGCGGUUUUGGAGGGGAUUGUCAGGAAACCGCAAAGCGGUUGUGGGGGCCGCAAAUGCGGAAGAAGGAUCGCAGAUGCGGCAGUGGCCGGCUUUUGUGAUUUCUGCAGAAGUAGAGUGUUAACCGCAAAUGCGGUACCGCAGAAGCAGAUUUUGACCGCAUAUGCAGGUAUGCCUGGGCAGAGCAUAUAAGUUAGACCAUUUCGCGAAAUUGGGUUAUUUCACCAUUUUUGACUUCGACUUGAGAGCUUUUGGACGAUUUGGAAGAGGGAUUUCAAGGGAACCUCGUUAAGGUAAGGAUUUUGGACCUAAAACACAUUUCUAUGGUAGUAUUUCAUGGAUUAAGGAUGAAAUUAAAUGAAUUAAAGGGCUAAAAAUGAAGGAUUAGAGCUUUAGUUAAGAGGCCUUAAAUUGAGAAUUUGAAGGGUCAUUUGAACUCCGAUUUUGGUAUUUUGGAUAUGCAUAGACUCGUGGGAAGAUGAGGAAUCUAUUGAUGUAAAAUUUCAGAGUUUCGAGAAGUGGGCCCGGGACUCGGAUUUUGGCCAAUUUCGGGAUUUUUGGUAUUUUCGGAUGUUUUUUCUUGGGCUUUGUUCCCUUAGCAUAUUGUGACGUAUUCGUUCUGAUUUUGGAUAGAUUCGACGUGCGUAGAGGCCGAUUCGAGGGGCAAAGGCAUCGCGAGUUAAAGAUUUAACCAGUUCGAGGUGAGUAAUGACUGUAAAUGAUGCUCUGAGGGUUUGAAACCCCGGAUUGCACAUCGUAGUGCUAUAUUGAGGUGAGGCAGACGCUUGAUGACGAGCGUGGGGCCAUGCACUAUCGGAGAUUGUGACUUGGUCCAUCCCGAUUGAUGAUUUUACUGUGUAUUUGAUUGAAAACUAUUUGCUAUCAUCAUUAUUUGAGUUGAAUGCCAUAUUUGGGCCUAGUGCCAGCUAAGUGAACCCUUCGGGGAUUUUUGUUGAUAUUUCCUCAUUGUUUUGACUUUAUACUUGAACUCAGUCAUGUUAUUUUCCACUGUUUUCAAAACUUAGCCAAGUUUAUUUUGCUUUAACACUUGAAAUGAUAUUUAAAAUAAUAUUUGGGCCGAGCAUCAUGUUUUACUGUUGUCCAAGCAGCUUAUGUGAUUUUUACCGAGUAAGGCCGAGUGCCUGUAUGUUGAGGAUACUUUUGGAUUGGGUUGCACGCUGCAGCAGUGAGAUACUAAUUUGAUUAUGAGGCCGAGAGCCUGAGAUAUGUAUUCCACGAGGUGGCUUGUUGAUUGAUAUGAGGCCGAGGGCCUAGAUUUGAUGCCACGAGAUGACUUGAUAUUGUGCUUGGGCCGUAAAGGGCCCUUCCCGGAGUUUGUGCACCCCCAGUGAGUGCGGGUAUCUAUUGUGAUGUGAGAUUGAGGCCGAGGGGCUAGUACUGUUCUGAGAUAUUGCCCGAGGGGCGAACUUCUAUUUGUUUACUUUAUCUUAAUUAUCUGUCAAUUUACCUGUUUACUGGUUGAAAGAGGGUUUAACUUGACUUUUCACUAUCUUACUGCUUUUAAAUGGUUUUACUACUUCAUUAUAGAAUGUCUUGUGCCUUACGUGUUUUCUUACUUUUAGUCUUUAUUUACAUUUGUUACUCACUGAGUUGGAGUACUAACUUUACUCCCUGUACCCCUGUGUGCAGAUUCAGGCCUUGUUGGUUCUGCUCCUAGGUGAUGAUUCCUCCAGUUCCAGGCGGCUUACGGAGAUUACGAGGUAUCUGUUGGCGUCCGCAGCCCCGUGUCUCUACUCUCUUAUCAGUUUUAUCUCCUUUCGAACAUUUGUAUUAGUAUUGGAUUUAGCAGACUUGUGUAUGGUCUAUAGAUGCUCGUUACUUGUGACACUCCAGCUAGGGCUAUGUCGGGUAGGAUUCCGAUUUUGUUAUCUAUGUUUCCGCUAUUUAUUAUCAUUAAAUUAUGUUUUAGACUGCCUUUAUAUUGUUUGACUCCUUUAACAAGUGAUUUGAGUUUAAUUGGCUGGCCUUGUCUUCACGAGAGGCGCCAUCACGAUCGGGUUCGGGGUUAGGGGCGUGACAGAAUGCCCCAUUUUCAAAUCCCAUCUGCCCUUUAGCCUUCAGUAAUUACAAAACAACUAACAAAAGAACAUAUAAGUUCAGCAACAGUCUCAAAUUAACCAUUUCCAACCCCAAACGCCCCCUUAACUAAUACCCCUCAACUGUCCAAUACAGAAAAAUAACAAAACAACUUAUUAAAUAAAUCUUGCUAAAAUGUUAAACUGGUUCAGUUAACUUAAACAAAAUAAUUAACAUGUUAAUCCUAAAUCCACUGACUUAGUCGACUCGAUUAAACAAUCCAAAACAAAAUUAAAACCUAACUGAUAAUUCAAAACCAAAAGAAAAAAGAGAUAAAGUAAUGAGAGAAGGAAGAAUAUACUGAUUUUGGACGGGAAUGAGUGGAGAAGAAACGAUGACAGCGAUGAAUCUUUGGCUAGUCAGCGGGGACUCUACCAGAAUCUGGCACACUUCGAAAUUGGCCAAAAAUGAUACUAAUCGAUUUUUCUUAGAAUAAAUUUUGUCAUGAAUCAAGCUUUGAAAACCAUUGAAAUCAGAAAGAGGAACGAAUUAGGUUUUUUUUUAUUUCUUUUGGAAACUCAAAUUUGAAAUUAAAGCAAAUGGGUGGGGAUUUUGGGGAAAUUGAUAGUGAGAUAGUGAUGAAGGGAGUAAGGAGAUGGCCUGGUGAGAUUUUGGGUUGAUAUGGAGUUGGUCAGCCGCCGGUAGGCGAUUUCCGAUCGACGGACCACUGUGGUGGACGGCGGGGUAAGAGAGAGAUGGGGGAGACGGGCUGGGGUGUUGGGGUUGAGUUCUGAGGGUAGGGGGUCUUGUUAGGACUGUUAAAUAGUGUAAGGGAGUAGGAUUGUGAGUCGUUGGAUCAAAACGAUCCAACAGUUGGGAUGGGAAGAGGUCAAAACGUGGUCAUUUUUGGGUAAGUGGGAAUUGAACCGGGUAGGCUUGGUUUUUUGGGCUGGGUUUGAGACGGAUUUGGGUUACUUAAUUGGGUAAGUUUUACAUUAAACCCCCUUCUUUUCAAUUCCUUUUCUUAUUUCCUUUUUCUUUGUUUUUUUCUUUUUCUUUAAUUAAAAAUCCUAAAUCAAAUUCCUAAAUUAAUCUAAAUUGUAAAAUUAAGCUAAUUAUCCAAUUAUAAUAAUUAUAACAAUUAGUUGAUCCUAAAUUAAAAGAGAAAAAUUACUAAUCUAAAAUUAAAAGCUAAAAUGUAAAAAUGAGCCAAUUUUUGUGAUUUUCAUUUUAAUAAAGCAAUUAAUCCUAAUAAUAUGAAAACAAAAUCUAAAUGCAAUGCAUGUUGUUUUAAACAUUUUUGAGGCAUUUUCAUGAUUUUUUUUAUAAAAAAUUAAACGUGCACAAAAAUGCAAACAAUUAAGAAAAUCCUACAAAAAAUCCUAUAAAAUGGCAAAUAAUUAAGAAAAAAUCUAUUUCUUUGAUUCUAUAGGAGUAUUUUGAAUAGGGCAAAAAUCACAUGCUCACAGCUGCCUCUCUUUGCUCGAAAACACGAAGGGUUUUCGGGCAAAGAUAGAAUGAGCAAUUACGAGCGAUUUUUUUGCCCGUUUGAAACUCCAUGGGAAGCAUUUUUUUGGAAAAAGUCUGAUAGAACCUUGCUUCGGAGGUUGCCAACAUAUCGUUGGCUAUAAAAGAAUCAGGUCAGUGUAGUUUUGGAAAUUUUGGUAGCUGGGACUACCGAGAAACUGUGAUUUCACUAUUGUUGAUGUUGUUUCUGCUUGUUGAACUCCUUAUUACACCAAAAUAAAGAUAAAAGGCUAAACUAGCUAAACCUAUCAACUAUGAGUUACAAGAUUCCUAUCUAUAAACCUUCUGAAGCUUGAUUUUGAGUCUUGGCUAGUUCUUACUGCGGACUCUGAUCUAAAUCUUGAUGCUCGUUAGCUGCAACCGCUGGUUCAUUUUUCUUCAACUUUUCGGAUCAAGGUGGGACAUGCAAAGCUUGUGACUUCGAUCAUAUCUUGAGCAGUCCGUAUCUUUUUUCCGCUUAUACACUUAGAGUUCACUUUUUCCAUUUCUUUUUUUUCCUUUAUUCUAGAUCGAGACUUCUUCUUUUGGUCGUCUCGACACAUGCGCCUCAAGCUAAAAACCUGUUCAGGCACCAAAACAAACAAACGAACGAAAUUUUUCUACCCUAGUUUUCACUAGAAAAUUUUCGGGAGUUAUUGUAACAAAAAUCUAAACUUCUUUAUUGAAAGCAAUAAAAUCAGAAUUGUGUAUCCUUGAAAAAAAGAUAUUAGGGAGUGGAGCCCUAUAUCUAAAAUGAAAUCAAAUGGGCAUCGGAGGCCCUAAGUUGGAAAGAUUACCAGGUUAUGCUGGCAUCAACUAGGGAGUGGGACCCUAUACUGGAAAAGACUACUAGGUUAUGCUGGCAUAGGCUAGGGAGUGGGACCCUAUAUUAGAAAGGAUUAUCAGGUUAUGCUGGCAAGGUUAGGGAAUAGGAUCCUAUGUUGGGAAAAAAUUACCAAGUUAUGCUGGAAAAGUCAUCGGGUUAUGCCGGAAAAGUCAUCGGGUUAUGCGGGGGAAGUCAUCGGGUUAUGCCAUAAAGGUCUUCGGGUUAUGCCGGGGAAGGUCAUCGGGUUAUGUCGGAAAUGUCCUCGGAUUAUGUCGGGGAAGGUCAUUGGGUUAUGCCGUAAAGGUCCUUGGGUUAUGCCAGGGAAGGUCAUCGGGCUAUGCCGGAGGUUAUGCCGGAAAGGUCCUCGGGUUAUGCCGGGGAAGGUCAUCGGGUAAUGCUAGAAAGAUCCUCGGGUUAUGCCGGGGAAGGUCAUCGGGUUAUGCCGGAAAGUUCCUCGGGUUAUGCCGUGGAAGGUCAUCGGGUUACGCCGAAAAGGUCCUCGGGUUAUGCCGGGGAUCAACUAAGGAGUGAGACCCUAUACUGGAAAAGUCUACCAGGUUAUGCUGGCAGCGACUAGGGAAUAGGACCCUAUGUUGGAAAAUAUAGCUAGAGAUUGGAGGCCCUAUGCUACAAUAUUUUUUUUUUCACAUUAAAAAAGUGAGUAAAAAUGCAGGAAAGAAUUUGGAGGAGACUUCCCUUUUGGAUUGCUUAUUGCCGCAAAGCUGUUUCUAGCCCUUGCGUAGUUUUUUUUUUGGUUGCACCUGCUUCUUGCAAGGUUGCUUUGGAUUACACCUGUUUCCUGUUUUCAAACAAAGAAUAAUUGUUAGUUUGAAACGGUGGCUGGUUUUGUGGCCUUGAUUGUUUCAAUCACUUGAUCUCGACCUGGCUUCUUUGAUGAAGAUCACAACUGCGACUGCUUGUUCCCUGAGGACCGAUUUCAUUUCUGACCCUGGAGAACCUCUAGCUUUUCUAGACUUUGCCAUGACUGUUGGUCACGUGGAACUCAACCUUUUCGACUUUAUUUUGCCUUUGUAGACCUUUCACUUCUAACUCUUUUUUUUAAAUUUUAACUUCGGAGCAUUAGGGAACUUUUUGGCUCCUCAAACUUGCUGCAACGGCAAGUCGCGUGGGAUUUAAACUUUUCCAAUUUUGUUUCGCCUUCGUAGGCCUUUCAUUUCUAUCUUCUUUCUUCCAACUCAAUUUCAGAGCAUUUGGGGUACCUUGGCUUUUUCAAAUUUUUGCCGAGGCGAUUUUCCAUGUGGGACUCAACCUUUUCAACUUCAUUUUCUUUUAUAGGCACUUCUAUUUGAUUUUCUCCUUCCAACAGUUUUGAUUUCGAAGCAUCUGCCGCCAUGGCCAGUCGAGGUUGACUUGAUGCCCCUAACGAGGCUAGGUGCCUUAUUGAACAUUAGCUCGUGUCAAAUGAGAACCCUGUAAAUCAGUCUUGCCAUCCCUUCUUUGUCUCAGUUUUGGAAUAGAGUUAGACCGAAAGGUAUUCAAAGGAAAAACAAACAAUGGAAUGGAUAAAUGAAUUUAGACAAGAGGUAUCCCUUUCGGGGAAAGGAAAGAAGGACUUAUCUGGAGUACAUGCGGACUUUAAUGAACAUGACUUGCCUUUUGGACUGGAUGCCUGAUCCGUGCAAACCGUCCGACUCUCAGAAAUUCAUCACGACCUUUACCUCGAAACUGAGAAACCUUACCUAGGACUACAUCAAUGUCAGUGACUGAAGAUCCUGUUUUUCGAUCAGUGGUGCCCUUUGUGGGUUUUCACGAGCUGACCUUUCUCAUUUAUUUUCUCACCAUCGCCUUGUAGUGCUCUUUGCGAGUUUUCACUAACAAGACUCUCUCAUUUUAGUUUCUCUAUUUACCAUCGUCUUACGGUGCCCGUGGGGGGUUUUCACCAAUAAGACUCUCUCAUUUUAUUUUUCUCAUUUUUAUGUGUCAGAUCCAAGUAACUGUAUCCUCCCAUUUUGAACCUCUUUGUUGAUUGAUCAGAAGGGCUUGAACGGGGUUUUGAGGUAAAAGUUUUUGGAUUGAAUUACAACCUUGGAACCUUUGAGGCGAAACCAUCGCCGAACCAUUAUAACUUCUGCCUCAGUUUCACCUUUUGGUGGAAUUUGGAUUUUUAUUUUGGUGUGACUGAACCCCAGAGAGAGGUUGUCUACCUAUCGGAAUCAAGUCGAACGUAGUUCAGGAAACUUUAUUUUUUGAUUUUCUUUUGUUUUUUCUGUUUUCUUUUGUUUUUUUUUCUUUUUUCCUUUCCUUUCCCCUUUUUUUCAUUUUUCAUUUCAUUUUCUUUGUUUUUUCUUCCCCCCUUUUUUGUAUCUUUUUUUUUCCGCUUUUCAUUUUUUUUUCAUUUUUCUUUCAUUUUUUCAAUUUUUUUUCAAUAACACUUUCAUGUUCCAAAGAGGGUAAUCAAAGAAGAGUAACCGACUCAAAUAUUUUACAAAAGGGUUAAUAGUGUUCGGGUAGAGAGAAUGAAAGCCUUCAUCAUCCCAACCAGAGAAUAUUAAUACUAUAUGGAGGAUCAAAUAUAGUACCUUUUGACUGCAUAUGCAUUGACGGGUGUUUCAGGACAUUUCCUUCGAUGUUUUCUAGGUAGAAUACUCUCUUUGGCAGUACCGUUAUUACCAUGUAUGGAUAUUUCCAAUCUGGAGCCAAUUUUCCUUUAGCUGCUCCAACUCUUUAUUUUAUUUCCUUAAACUUAUCUUCAUUGUGAUGUAAUUCUUGAUUCAUUAUAUCGAGAACCGACAGCGUUUUAAGAUCUGGGCAUGAAGUCCACAAUCAUGUCAAGUUAUUGAAAUCUGCAUUAACAAAACUGAAAAGAGAAUAAGAAAAAUGACAAGAUUAAGAAAAGAGACAUUCUUGGACAAUGAAAUAUUAAUUUCAUUUGAUUUUUUUUGGAUUUUUGAAUUUUAAAGAUAGAAGGGUUUACAUCGUAAAGUAAGACAAUAAAUUAAAACAUCCGGAUCACACCAUGAGAUAAUCCGAACAUAGAAAGGAUAGCAAGACUGACUACCGAUAAUCCCUUCUGAUGGGGAACUUUCAGGCUUGACGGUCAUUUUUCGGCUUUUGUUCUAUCUCGGCAAUGGCUGCAAUGGCCUUCAGUGCCAGAUCAAAUUCGUCAUAUUCAUAAAUCAUUCCGACUAUUGUCCCGAUGUUGUGGGCAGGCAACAGAUUUUUCAUCACAUCAAGAGCUUCUUUAUCCUGAAAAACAAUUCUUUCAGCUUCAAUCAAGUCUUCAGCUGCACUUUUAAGUGUCCAACAGUCCUCCGUACUGUGUCCUACUCCAAAGUGGUAUUCACAUCUAGCAUCAGCUCGGUGCAGAGGGGACUCGGAGUUUGGUCGGUUCGGGGCCACUGGCUGCAAUAGAUCUAGCCUGAUUAGCUUUUGGAACAAGCUUGAAUACGAUACACCAAUAGGGUUGAACUGAUUUUUUCUGAAAGGCUCUCUUGGGCAGGGAUUGUACUAGGGAAUAUUUGGUUGGGAUUUAUAUGGAGCUUGGUAAGGAUGGGCAUUUAUGGGAGGUAGAACUCGAUUUUGUGUAUGAUGUUGCGACCGCGUGUAAGGCUGCACAUUCAUCACCGCAUAAGGAGGUGGUGCCACGGUAUAAGCAGCAUCUUGAAGGGGAUAAUAAUGUUGAGGGACCUUAGGAAGCAUAUAUGAUUGGUUGAAUGACCUGUGGGCCCCCCUCGAGCUGGAAGCCAUCAUGGCUCCUUCUCUCUCAUUUCCAUAACCCUUUGAACCAAUUUGAACAUCUGGUGAUGUGGCUUUAAAAGCAGCAUGACUCAAGAUUCAACCCAUUUUAGCUCACUUUCUACCAUCUCCCCAAUUUUGAUAGCCUUAACAAAUGGCUUUUCCAUAGCGGACAUCAUGUUCUGGAAGUAGUAUGCCUCUUGGGCCUAUAGAAAGAUAGUGACCAUUUCAAUUUCGUCCAUUGGAGGCUUUAACCUGACAGCUUGCUCACACCAUUUGGCAGCAUAUUCGCGGAAGCUUUCCGCUAUUUUCCUUUUCAAAUUGGAAAAAGAGUUUCUAUCAGGAGCGAUGUCCACAUUAUACUGGAACUCGCGGACAAAAUCUUUGGCCAUAUCGUCCCACACAUGACAAUGGGUAAUUUCUUGAUCCGUAUACCACUCAUAAGCGACUCCGAUGAGGCUUUCCCCAAAAUAGGCCAUUAGCAUCUCCUCUUUUCCACUAGUGCCUCUCAACUGGUUACAGUAUCAUUUCAGGUGAGCGACCGGGACUUUGUGCCCAUCGUACUUUUCAAAUUUUAGCAUCUUGAGGCCAACUGGCAAGUGGACAUGGGGAAACAUACAGAGGUCAGAGUAUGAGACACUCUUUUGGCCACUCAGACCUUGCAUGUUUUUCAGGCUUUGUUCCAGGCUAUUCAUCUUUCGAGCCAUUUCCUCUUGCUCAGGAUUUUUAACAACCUUUUCUUGCUCUAUCGAGAGAUCAUAUUGCGGAGGUUGAGUGAAAGAGUAUGGGGUCACAUAUGCUAUUUUUGAUUGAAGUUGUAGACUCUGAAAGGUGAACAUUGGAGGCUCAACAUAUCGUCGUGGUANNNNNNNNNNNNNNNNNNNNNNNCGUGGUAAAAUUGGUUGUGCUCUGGUGCAGACUGGUGCUGUAGAGAACAAUAUUGGAGGGUGCCCAGGAAACUGGCGGCCUGGGGGCGGAACCACAGAAAGGCAUGCCAGGAUCAUUGAACAACAUUAGAGGGUGCUCGUAUAGGAUAAGCGAGUUGGGCACAGGGGCAUUGGUAACCUCACCUGACCUGGGGAUCAACUCAGGGAACCCACGGAUUGCACUUGGCGGUUCUCUACCAUUAGACCAGGUGUCCCACAUUUCCAAUAUGCGGAGAUGCAACAUCCUAUUGUCUUCAGCAGUUGCUGAUUCUAGUUGUGGAAUAGCCGAUGCUGGGCUAUCCUCAGGAUCGCUGAUUCGUAGAUGGCUUUCAUAAGCCAUAGUAACCUUUUCUUUGUAGCUCGUGAAGUAUGGAUGGGCUAGACUACCAACAAAACCAAUCACCUGAACAGAACCUGGCUAAUUUGCACACGCAACAACCUUGUUAGUUUUGAGACGCUUAACAAAUAGGAAAUCGCGUAUUGGGAUGCAAUUCACCUAAACAGCUAAACGUUUAAGCUAUGUGUUUGAACGAGUUGCAUGUUUCAUCCCGGCCUUAAUUAACCUUUUAUUUCAAUCUACACAUCUUCUCUUCAUUUUUGCUUCUCUCUAAUCAAUCUUGAUUUUUUCAUCUCGUUUUACCGCUCUUUUAUUUUUGGGACACUCUUUUCUUUCUUUCUUUUUCACUCUUUUAUUUAAUUUUAUGGCUAUGAUCGAAUCCGAUGGGAUUGCUUACGUAUCAUGACGCCGCAUGAAUCAGAUCUUGCGUAGUUCGGAAAGAUUGAGAAUGGAGUAAAUAAGCUAACUUUUUUUGUUUACUUUUAUAAAACUCAAAUCGAGAAAGCUUUAAGAAAAAGAAAAACAUAUAUUUUUUAAUUUUUCUGUUUUGUUGUUUUUGUGUUUAUUGGAAUUUUCGAAAGAAAUGCUUUAAAAGAAGAAAGGAAAUAAUUUUGUUUUUGGAUUUUUGAUUUUGAUUUUAUUUUUAUUUUUUAAAAGAAGGACUUCUAAAAAUUCUUUUUCUUUUGAUUUAAACUUUGAGAAUUUCAAAAGUAAAAGGAAAAUAUUUUUGUUUGAAUUUUCAUUUGUUUUAUCUUUUUUUAAAGAAAAAAGAAAAAUAUUUUUUUUUUGAUUUUGGAUGUUGCCUCUUAAUUUUCGAAAGAGAGACUUUUGAAAAAAAUAUUUUGGAUUUCUGAGUUUUUUGUUUUUAAAUUUACGAAAGUAUUUCUAAAGAAUAACGAAAAUAUUUUUGGACUUCAAUUUCUUUUUAAAAUUUUUUUUUGAAAGAAAGACUUUUAAACAAGGAAUUUUUUUUUAUCCUUUGUUUUUUUAAAUUUUUGGGAAAAAACUUCUUAAAAAGUAGAAAAAUAUUUUUUUUUUGAAUUUUGAUUUGACUUGUGGAUUUUCGAGAGAAGAUCUUUUAAGAAAACAUUUCUGAUUUCUGAGUUUCUCUUUUUUUUUCUUUUUUAAUUUACAAAAGUACUUUUAAAGAAAAGCGAAAAUAUUUUUGGACUUUUAUUUCUUAAUUUUUUAUGGACAUUUAUAAAAGAAAGACGUCUAAAGAAGAAAAGAAUAUUUUUGGAUUUUUGUUUUUGAAUUUUUUUUGGGGGAAAAUACUUCAAAAUGAAGGAAGCCCGUAUUUUGAAUUUUGAUUUUUUUUAUUUCUUUUUUCCGUGUGAAAGACUUCAGAAAGAAAGAAAACUACUUUUUUUUGAAUUUUUAAAAAACUUCCUCUUUUUUCUUUCUUUUUUUGAAUUUUCUAAGGAAAGAUUUCUAAAGAAAGAACUAAAGGAAAAUAUUUUUGGAUUUUUGAAAAUUGGGGUCGGAACCGAUGAGGUUUGCCUACGUAUCUCACAUCCGGUGAGAAUCAGACUCGCGUAGUUCUGUCAAUUUUGACGGAACAAGGGAAACAUGGCACUUGAAAAUCUUGGCUUAUUUUGAAAUGACUUUCUUUUUCUUCCUUUUUUUUCGGAAUUUCGGCAGAGUUUCAGGAUUUUCCAAAUACCUACCUCUCACUCUCUUUCUUUUUUCUUUUUUUUUUCUGAUUUUCUUUCCCUAUUCUCGAAGCCGGUCAAUAUGAAAGCCGAAACAAAAUAGAUGCGCAAGUAGCACGUAAGAUAAUUCAGAAUGGUCUUUUUAAUUUGGGUACACCUAUCCUAGACGAACCCAACCCCUAUGUUGAAUCCCUAAAGUCAGAUGCACAUGAUGCAAACAAACGUACCUACUAGGGAUCCGGCAUGAGGUUAUGUUAUUCAAGGUUUUAAAACCUAGGUGUAUUGUUCUAGACCUGGCUUACCCGAGCGGACAUCUCGAGCUGGGGGGGGGGGCAGCGUACCAGGAAUACAGAAGCUUCACCCGCUUUGCAACUUGUCCGAACUUCGUUCUAAAAUUAGGAUAUGACUCUAACAGAAAAAAAGUCACACGAAGUGCACACUUCCCAGAUGAUUUAAAAGACUUAGGGAGAAGAAGGGGUUUGUAACAGUUUAUAUACAGUUCACACAAUAUCAAAGCGCUAAAAAGUGGCAUUUAGCACAUUAGGCUUGAACACGUAAAAAUCAGAUAAUAAAUAAAACCAACUAUAACAGUUAUUCUAUGCUCGAAUUCUUGAACAGCAGAGUCGCCAGAGCUGUCACACCUCCUUUUUACCACCCGAGGGGGUAUAAAAGGAGUUUUUUCAAUUUAAGUGACAUAAAUCGAAAUGGAAUUAUUUAUUUAAUUUCAGAGUUGCCAUUUGGGAUGUUUAUUAGGAUUUCCCAAGUCACCAGUUUAUUUUAAAUCCCAAAUCGAGGAAAAUUGACUUCAUUUAAAAGUCUGUGAAACCAGAAAAACUAGGUAAAGAAUUCUGUUAACCCAAGAGAAGGUGUUAGGCAUUCUCGGGUUUCAUGGUUCUAGCACGGUCGCUUAACUAUUAAUAAUUGGCCAAAUUAUCUGAUUUGUUACACGUUUUAAAACUAUUGUGCAUUUUUAACUUUAUAACCGCUUUUAAUUUUUUUAAUCUCUUUUUAGGACUUAUGGAAUUAUUUCUUGAACAAGUUACGAUUGUCGUACACUUGCCGUUUUGGAACAUGUUGCAAAUCACGCUACAUGAAAUGCACCCACGAUUUGCGAUAUGUUUCUUUUAUUAUUGUUCGAAGUUGUUAUGAUCCGGUCACAUGAAAUGCACAUCUGGUUUGGGAUUAGGCAUCACGACCAUACCACGGUAAUCGUACCCAUAGCCAUGAUGAGUUAUUAUUAAUCACGCCUAAAGCAAGCUACGAUGUUCAUGAAUUGUUCAUUUCCUAAAUUUGGGAUUAAUGCAAGGUCUUUGCAUAUGGGUAGAUGUAGUAGUAUAAGGCUGAAAACUUAACUUUCUAAAUAUUCAACAUUUGCUCUUGUAUACAGAUGUGAGGAAACUAUGCCAUUUGAAGUGGGGAAACCUGUAUUCGUGUAACUUUGAUUCACAGGGAAGUUACAAGAUUGCUUGAUGUUUGUGAGGAACAAACCACCUUCUUCUCGUAUAUUAAUGUAAAGAAAAGAACAAACACAAACUAUUUUAAAACUACAGACACGCUUAUCUGAGUCCAGAAUUGCAACCAAAUAGACCAGCUAAAUGGGCUUUCCUGCAUCACUGUAACAAAGCCCAUUGGAGUUACUUAAGGUCGAGUCCAAAUUCUAUGGACUCUGAAAGAACACUCUAAUAACUAUGCUAUGUCUAGCAAUUGUUAAAAGAAAAUUCUUACAAAAUAAUUAAAUACAACCUUAAUAUCAAACCCAAUUAAUCAUGGCUUAGAAAAAAAAUAUCAGUGGCCAUUUUAAUUUUGACAACAAUCAAAUGCUCUCAAAAUCAACUUAUUGAUGAAGGUAACUACUAAACUAUUAGCAUUGACAAUAAACCUAAAACAACGGCCAUGUAUGCUUCAACACUAGACAUAGCUUAGCCAUCAUUCAGGCAAAACCUGUACAAUUUUGAAGCUCAUACUUAAACCAUUUAUUAUAUGAGAAUAUCUAUGAUUAGAAGUAAUAAAUAACAUGUUGGUCAAGCCAUUAAAACUGCAACUCAAACCAACUUGUUGCCAGAUCCACAGUUAUUGACCCUCAAAUCCAACAUUAGACUUUAAUUUAUCAUAAGCCAUGAAAAAAAAGACUCGAACUUCAAGAAUUAAUAUUCAAACUAGGCAACAUAUGAUUAUGUACAAUACACAUGUUAAAUUCUAGUGGAAAUAGGUGAAAUGCAAAACAUUCUAAUCGUACAUCACUGCUAAAGCACAUUCCCGCUAUAACCAAACUUCAUGUAAUUGCUAUGUCAAAACCAAACAUUCAAGUUAUGUUCAAAAAAGAACCAACAAAUAGCAGGCUUAACAAACUACAACAGAUAGUUCAUAUUUCAAUACAAAUCAAAAUAGAAUACAAGUGAUAAAUGUGUACCUAAGCUCGAAAAUGAAUCUGAGCCUUUGCCAAAUAAAGAUCAAAGAAAUCAACUACUAAAUUUGCUCACAACAGGUCAGCAGCAGAAGAUAGGAUGACAGCUUGAAUCCCAGAAUGAUGAACAGAAACAACAGCAACAAUUAGAACAGCAACAAAACCCCAGAAUUUUGACUAAAACCAACUUUAAAUGGCAGGGAUCAUGAACUAGAAAACCAUGGAGCUAUUUCUGUUUUCAGAUUCACUAGGAAAACUCAGAAAAAGGAAGAAAAAUCAGUAUGAAAAUCAAACUUUUUUCCAGAAUUCCUUAGUGUUUCAAAAAUGCCUUUUUAAAAUUGCCUAAUUCUGAUGAUUGUCUGUUUUGAGUGAGUGAGGGCCUAUUCUUUAUAUAGAAUGCACAAAGAUAGCAUAAAAAGGAAUAUUUUAUCUAAGGAUGGGGACAACUGUGCAAAAUCUAGAACCGUCUGAUAUUUUAUCUAGGCUUUGGCCAUUCUUACCUUCAUAUUAU
rnacentral:lncRNA from 1 species